ACAUGACAUUUUAGAGCGUUUUCUUAUACAUUAUACACCAUAAAUUUUAGCUAAAUAUAAUCGUGAAGAUACAAUAGCUAAACAAUAACGAAGUCAAUUUAUUGUUCAUCUGAUUGACAAUGUGUCAGUCAAAAACGUACUUACUCAUUUCAAGUGGCGAUAUCGUUUAAUAAAGAGGUUGAUAAAUGAUAAGUGAUAAUUGUUUAUGAAAAUCAAAAAUACUAUUUGAAAUCAUCCUAUAAGUGGUUUGACGUCAU